GGGGCUGAUCGGUUUUGACAGGAAGUUGAACGGGUAUGUGCAAGCAUGCCGUGCGUUGUGGGUUUGCACGUUAAUCUCAAUUCACAGGCAAUUAUCUGCCAACAACUAUGCAAUGGCUGCUUAAUCCGCGGUUAGCGGGUUGAGCGCAUGUCUGCCGCAAGAGAACUCCCAGCGCUUUAGCGGUUAGGCAGCAUAAAAGGAUGGGAUAUGUCCGUUGCGCUCCGGCAGCGGAAAGAAACGCAGGAGAUACGGAGCAGGCGCGGUUUCUUUUCACCUGCCUGUUCCCGACAAUCAAGAGAGGAUACGCAUGUAGAAAACAUACUGGUUGCUUUUCUGGACGAGGGUUCAAUUCCCUCCAGCUCCACCA
rnacentral:tmRNA from 1 species